rnacentral:rRNA from 1 species
AGCAGUCGCCGCGGGAAUACGAAGGGGGCUAGCGUUGUUCGGAAUUACUGGGCGUAAAGCGCACGUAGGCGGACAUUUAAGUCAGGGGUGAAAUCCCGGGGCUCAACCCCGGAACUGCCUUUGAUACUGGGUGUCUAGAGUAUGGAAGAGGUGAGUGGAAUUCCGAGUGUAGAGGUGAAAUUCGUAGAUAUUCGGAGGAACACCAGUGGCGAAGGCGGCUCACUGGUCCAUUACUGACGCUGAGGUGCGAAAGCGUGGGGAGCAAACAGGAUUAGAUACCCCUGUAGUCCCUGUCUCUUAUAC